AAACCUUCUCUCAUCAUAACAGAGUUGAAUUUUACAUUCCAGUAUUUUGGGGAUUUCUUAAGGCCAUACAGAGACCGAUUUAACUUAACAAUAUUCUCACCAUUGUUAUAUGCACCUUCAGGUAAUUUUAAAUACACAUCUUCCUCUAUAUCACCAUACCAAAAAGCCCCUGUUACAUCCAUUUGUGAGACUGGUAAGUUAAGUUUUGUUGCUACUGCUAAAAAUUAUCUAAAUGUCGACAAUUUUGCUACAGGUGCAUAAAUAUUAUUGAAAUCUAAUAUAUCAUCUUGCUCGAACCCCCGAGCUACUAAUCUAAAGUAACCGUCACGAGAAGCUAUAAAUUAUGUAAACAAACAUCUUUUACUAAGUAAACAUUUGAUACUGCGAGAUAAUAAUAACUUGAACAUAUUCAAUCGACAUGAAAUAUAGACGGGUUAUAUGAAAGUAACAACCUAUUUAAUUUAGUCGAAUUAUAUUUUAACGACGCAAAGCGCUAUCGUUUGUGUUCCUUGGUACCGGAACGCGUCCGUCGCAGGGAUUGUAAACUAUCGGGACGCCAUUUUGAAAUAAACAGUUAUUCGAGUUUCGAAUGCUUACGAGUUUGUUUCAUUGCUUUGCAUAUAUCGCGGAUCUGGUUGUUAUUGUUUCGUUAUCACUUUUUAAUUGUUGUAAUUUAAAUUGUUGCGAUGUUGCGUUAAUUUUAUAUAAUAACGAAAUGUUUAAUUGUUUUUACAGGACAUACCGUAAAUAAAACUUGGGUAGACAAACAAGUUAAAAGUAAGAAGCAGGCUUUCCUAGAAGGACUUAGCAUUUGUGCACCUAACCCAACGUCAAAAGGUAAACGAUUAAUAAUUACCCAUAUCGGCAAUGAGAACGGUUUUGUAGAGGGCGGCGAAAAUAUAUUUGAAUGCAAGAAGACGGGAGAUUACCAUGAAUCAAUGGAUGCAACACAUUUUGAACAAUGGUUUGAAAACGUUCUCCCAAAACUUGGAGAAAAUGCAGUAGUGGUAAUGGACAAUGCACCAUACCACUCAAGGCGUCUUGAAAGAAUUCCUACUACAGCCUGGAAAAAAAAUGAUAUACAAAAUUGGCUUGUAAGUAAGAAUAUUUCUUACGACGACAAUGAAAUUAAGACUGAAUUACUGCUAAAAGUAAAAAAUGUUAAAGACCAUUUUAAAAUUUAUGUAGUGGACGAGCUCGCAAAAAAAUAUAAGGUGGAAGUAUUGAGACUCCCGCCAUAUCAUUGUGAGCUUAAUCCAAUUGGCCCAAAUUAGGCCCAACGUAAAAGGAUAUGUUGCUCGCAAAAAUACAAAUUUUAAAUUUGACGAGGUAAAACAAUUAUUACAAGAGGGACUGAGGCAGAUUACUUCGGAAAAUUGGAAGCGUUGUGUGGAGCAUGUUAUCAAGGAAGAAGAUAACUUUUAUUCCAAAAUCGAUGAGAUGAUUGAUAAAACUGUAGACAGCUUCGUGAUACAUGUCACUGAUUCUGACACAGAAAUGGAAACAUCUGAAUCUGACGAAUAAUUAUUCUGAAAUAAUAUAUGUUAAUUAAUAUUUGUUAAUUAAUAAAUUAUUAAAUCUUAAACAAAUUCUUUUUUUUUUUUUGUUGGUCCAAAUGUUGUGAACUCCUGAACACUUGUUUACAAAAUUUAUAGCUUCUCGUGACGGGGACUUUAGCUUUAUAUUGCAAAGUAUUAUUAUUACUCUUAAUCUUAAACACCCAUUUACUACUAACAGCCUUAGUAUUAUCUGGUAAGUUACAACAUUAUUUUCCUUGAGAGUUUGUAGUUCUUUUUGUAUAGCUUCUUUCCACUUACAAGAGUCCGGGCUUCUCAUGGCUUCUUCAAAUGUCUUAGGCUCACUGUCAGACACCAAAGCGUUGUGACAUUCAUAAAACAUAGUCUGCUUCCUUGCACGAUUUCCUUGCCGUCUGGUGGUUAUUUCAUUACCACUUUGUCCACUCGAGUCCCCGCUUUCACUUGGCUCAUACAAGCUUCCCUCACUUUCUGUACCACUACUAGUUUCUUGAUUACUGUCCUCUGGAGGGUUUAAACUCGUUUCUUCAUUUGGCUCUUGUGUUUCACUGGCUUCACUGGCUGAUAACUGUACAGGUAGAUCAUAUAAGUUGCUAUCAGACUUUCCUACAUCACUCUGAUUAUUUUCCAGGAAAACAAUAUCUCUUCUUAUUUCAACACUAUCACUGCAAGGGAAAUAUACUCGAUAUCCCUUGGUUGUUUCUCCAUAUCCCACCAGGAAACCCUUUUCUCCUUUUGGGUCCCACUUCUUCCUCUGUACUUUUGGUAUAUGGACGAUAACAGUAGUACCAAAUAUUUUUAGGUUAUUUAUAUCAUAUCGACGCCUCCCACGCAAAUAGUCGGAACAUUAUUUUUUAUGAAAAUAUUUUUUUUAUGCCAUUAGAACCCUGACAAACAGUAUUUCAUAUUCCCGAAAUCCAAAUUGAUAAAUAAUUUAUAAAUAAUGAGUUUUUGAAUCGAUAAUAGUCGUAACAUUUAAACGCUCCCGCGCAUAAAGUCGCGCUGACAGUUCCGACUAUGUGCUCCGAUCUAUUGGACCGCGGCCGGCCAAUCAGCGCACAGUACCGACGUCGUACGACACGAACGACACGAACGAAGUCUCUUAGUUUUAAAUGUUCAAAUAUUUAUGAUUAUGUGUUGUUUUUGUUUACUUUUGAUAACUAACUAACUUAACUUUACUUGUGCAAUUAUAAAUUGGUGAAAUGAGUAACGAACGUUCUUCAAAGAUUUUGAAAUUGGUGUUAGAUAAUCCCAAUUCAAAUAGCGAAGUAUUAACGGCCGGUCAAAAUUUUGAAAAUGGUAAGUUUUACUGUAUUAUCUUAUUAUUAUUGUUCAAUUUACUUGUUUAUAUGUGUGAUAAGAAUAUCAUAAUAAUAUGUUACAGUGUUCUAUAGGACGAAACAAAAAAAAAUUGGUUCCGACGCAUAACGUCGGAACGUCUGUGUUACGACUAUAUGCGUUGUAAUUAAUAAUUAACAGUCAUCAGUUAAGACUUUUUACUACGUAACUAUUUCGUUCUAGGAGUCGUAAAUUAUACUUACGACCUUAUGCGUGGUUGAAAUAUAAAAAUAAUUAAACGUAUAAAGACUGAUCAUAGUCAUACGACUUUAUGCUUUGUUGUAAAUUUGUGAUACGAUACUUUGCUUUUCCAUUAUAGCUAAAAUAUCAUUAAAAUAUUUUUUAACCCUAUAGUUAUAGGGUUAAAAAAAACAAUAUAUUUGUUAUUUGUGCUAACUUUUUAACGAAUGGCCUGUUUUUAUUUUUAGUAUCACCGGUACCACUUGAGGCUGAACACCAGUGGGAGCAAUACAAGACGAUGUUCGGGAACUCUUUUAGUAAUAGUACAGCAAGUAUUGACGACAACUUUGAACUAACUAACUUAGCCGCAAUUUUACCAGUAAUUCCUUCCCCAACUCCUAAGGACUCCGAGCCAUGUGAUGAAGAUUUUUUAAACGAAUCAGCUGAUGUAAUAGAACCUUCAUUCGAUAUGACACCAAUGCCCUCUCCGAAUAAUGACUUUUUGAAAUACAAUGUAGCUUGCACGUCGACUCCAUUAUUUAGUAAUGUAUCUAAUUGCGAAGCUGAUAAUAAUUGUUCAUCCAGUAGUAGUAGAGCCAAUACACCACUGCUCAGUAACGUUUCGAGCCAGGAUUCUUCUGUGUGCUCGUCAAACGAAAGUACGCCGGCCGGCAAGCAAAAUUAUUGGAAGAAAAUGUCGCUGUCGCCAUGAUGAGUGGAAAGACAUAAAAAGAAAAUGUUUAAAAAAUAUGGGAAAAGCGUAUUUAAGUAGGAACGGAGUUCAAAGAGAUGGAAAGAUUUUAAAACAACCAUGUCCGGUUACUUGCCGUCUUAAAUGUUUUCAAAAGUGUGAUGCACAACAACGGGAACGUAUAUUUAAUUCUUUUUGGCGAAUUGGAGAUCACUGUCGACAAUGGGAUUACAUCGUCAACCAUACAGAAGUAGGCGAUACUAAGUAUCCUUCUACUACAAAACUUGUGUCUAGGCGCAAGAAAUCGAUUAAGUAUUGCUUGCCUCUAAUUGAGUCUAAUUCUGACAUACCUAAUAAGGUGUUCGUUUGCAAAACGAUGUUUCUAAACACACUCUCUGUAGGGGAAAGAACUGUUCAAACGGCAUUGGCGAAAUGGAGCUCAGGGGGUGGCUCUGUUUUCCCUGAUCGACGCGGUGGUACCAGAACUAUUGUCAUAGACGACGAAAUAAAACAGGAUGUUUUAAGGCAUGUCAAAACGUUCCAGCCCGUUGAAUCUCAUUAUGUACGUAAAGAUACUACUAAAAUAUACUUAGAUAGUGACCUUACAUUUACAAAAAUGUUUUCUUUGUACAAUGAGUGGUGUAUUACUGAAAAUAUAACUAAAAAAGCAACGACAGUGAGACAAUAUCGAGAUAUCAUUAAUCAAAAUUUGAAUAUAUCAUUUCACAAACCGAAAAAAGAUAUCUGUAACGAAUGCCAUAUUUACAACACAAACAAAGAUACAAUGACAGAAGAAGAAAAACAAAAACAAGAUUAAAGCUAGAGAAAUGAAAGCAAGUGAUAAAAAAGAAGCUUUAGAAAGCGGAGGAAAAAUAGUUACAGCAUGCUUUGAUUUUCAAAAAAUCUUGAACUGUCCUCAUGGCAAUGUUGGUUUAUUUUACUAUAAAAGAAAAUUAUUGAUUUAUAAUUUCACAAUAUUUGAUUUAGCUAGUCAAGAAGGAUUUUGUUACAUGUGGCCUGAAAGUAACGGGAAACACGGGGCAUGUGAAGUCGCAAGUUGCCUAUCCAAAUUUAUUGAAACUAAGGUUAGCCAGGGUGCCAAAGAAUUCCGAUUUUGGUCCGACUACUGUGCCGGUCAAAAUCGAAACCGUAUUGUUAUCGCUUUUUAUACAUAUGCAGCAAAAAAGUAUAAAAUAACAAUAGUUCAUAGGUUUUUAGAGCGUGGGCACACACAGAAUGAAGCCGACUCAGUGCAUGCUCUUAU